rnacentral:lncRNA from 10 species
GAGAAUAUGUAUAAUAGGUGAAGGAUGGGGAGCAAUCAGAGGAAAAUGCACCAAAUGAGAUAGCAUCUUGCUAUGCUGCCAAGGUUGAUCUCAAACUCCUGGGCUGAAGUGAUCCUCCAGCCUUGGCCUCCAAAAGUGCUAGGAUUACAACAGGCAUGAACCACCAUGCCCAGCUCUUUGUGGGAUUUCAGGAAAGCUAGAAGACUGGAGGGAGCUACUGAGAGGAAUGUGAGAGGGAGCUGACAUGAGACAAUACAAAAUCCCUGUGGGUGUGCAGCUUCUUGGCAUUUUGGACAAAGAAUGGGACAACACACACAAACAAAGCAAAGGAAGAAUGAAGCCACAAAAGCAGAGACAUAUUGAAAACAGAAGCACGCUCCAGAGGGUGGGAGUGGCCCAAGCAAGCAGCUCAAGGGCCCGGUUGCAGAAUUUUCUGGGGUUUAAUUACCCUCCAGAGGUUUCCAUUGGUUACUUGCUGUAUGCCAUAUGUAGAUGAAGAGGCUAAAAUGAAGUUACAAAGUCAUUUACUUGGUGUAUGCCCUGUGUAAAAGAAGAGGAUAUUUCCUGUCAUAGCUGAAGUGUUUUUGUUUGAUUUAGUUCUAGGAAGUCCUUAGGUUCUCUGCCUCCAGGCCCUAUUCUCCUGCCUCAUUUCCCCCUUGAAAGUAGUGAUCCCCAUAAAUCUUUAUGGGAGGCAGAGGCAUAGAUGGUCUUCUGUACUGCUUCAUGCUGCCUUGGAGCAUAGUCCCUACCUACUGGGGAUCACAGAACCCUUGCCCUGCUUUGUCUAGUGGAGGCAGGGUAGCUCCUUGAUAACCAGUGGUGGUGUCUUCACCUGGAGCUGGCCGGAACCCUUGUCGCAUGAUCAUCUGAAGAUUUAUUGUCUCUAGGCAAGAGGAAAUGAAUUUGGUUACAAGAUUUAAUGGAAACUUCAGGAGAUAGAUACCUAUGCUGUCAGGAAUGUUUGUUAUAGAGAUUUGCAGGAGAAAAACAAAACUUGGUCUGUUCUAGGUUCUAUGUGUUUCCUUAAAGUCUCAGCAUAAGCGACUCCAUUUUGGUUUGGUUUGGUCUGUUGGGGCCUAGUGCAUGAGCUCAGUCCAAAACAAUGGCCUCUCAUAAUUUUGUUUAAAAAAAUUCUCCCUUUUUGGUCAGGUGCUCACUUAGGUGAGAGUGCAACCAAAACUUAGGGCCUUAGCUCCACUCUCAGUUAUCAUCAUUUUGGGUUUCUGGUCUCAGCAUGUCAUUCAUAGGUUACAGUGUUCUCAUGGUCGCACAUUUCUUUCAGCUCUUGUUAUUCCAGUUGAAUAGAGACCAUUUGACAUUCUAGAGAUGGCUGCAUGCAAACAUUUAAAACCUUUGAGAGAAUACAGCAUGCCAGGGAGCCUAUUAUUAUUACUAUCAGGAUGAGUGUUCCCAUAAACCAAAAUACCUAAAAUCAAAUAGAUCAAAGGGUGACCUAGAUAAAGAGUGUACUCACUUAACUAAAGAGUCUCCGCAUUAAUCCCCUACAACUGAAUUUCUAUAAUCUUCAUUUGAUAUAUUUAUCUGUAGGCCACAAGUGCCAGCAGUUGUACAAAUACUUCUCUGUUCAGCCAAUUCUAUCAUAACUUUCACAAAAUAAUUUAAAGUCUGUUGUGUAACUAUAGCCUUUAUAGUAGAAUCUGGUAUACAGCCUAUCAUGAGGGACACAUUUCUAAUAAUUACUUCUUUUUCUCCAAACUGUGGAGCAUAUACACAGACAUAUUAGAAUUUUAGAAAUCCCAUACAAUUUUGGAACAUAUAUUAAUAUCAUUCACUAAAAUAUAACCUGAAGAUAAUUAAAUAUUAUUUUUUAUUUUGACAGUACUUCCCAUGUAACUAAACAUGUCAAAUAAUCCUAUUUACCUCUCUUUUCAAUGCUUCAGGGGCCCUCUGUAGCACUGCAAAGUUAGAGAUCAGAAAAGUCUAUUUUAAAGCUGAAAUUUGAUUGUGGGAAGCCUAUUAAAUAUGUUAAAGAUUUACAAGAAUUUACAUUCCCAUGACUUCUUAUAAUCUUUUACCAAUCAUUCAACUGGUUUGCUCAGAGAGAGAGGGGCCAGAAGUCCGACUGGUAAGAAUUCUUACCCUAUUGCCGGCAUGUCAGGUUUCUGGGUUCCUGUCCCUUAGCAGCCCUUGCAACUCUGCUCAACUGUAUGCAAACAAACACAUUGCCAUGAAUUAAGAAUAUUCACAAAUAGUUUACAAAUUUUGGAGAAAUUAGGUAGAGAGAGAAAUAUGACUCAAAUUCUUUUUAUGAAAGUAUACUCAACACAUGUAAAGUAUCAGGAAUCCUAAUUUCCAAAAAUUUAGCUUAAGGUUAGAAAGUUGAUGUGCUCCAUCAAUUUCUGCAGGCCUGACAAAAGUAGUCUAGGAAUUCAAGAUAAAUGAAACAAAUAGUGACUUGCUAGAUAUGCAUAGGAAACAAAAUGGCUAUUAAUAGAACUAAAUAAAAGCCUUCCACUGGAAACUAAAAAAAAUUAGGGCUUUAUAUAUAUGCAUAUGUAAGCAAAACUCAGGAUAGUAAACAGCAAACAAAUGAAAAUUAGAAGCACAGACAAACAGGAAACCAACCCUAAAUUUUUUCUACUCAAUCUAUCCUGGAGGCUACAGUGUAACCCAGGGCCCCACAAAACACACAUAAUGAAUAUUUUAUUCCUGAUACACAAUUCAAUAUCCUUAAGUCAACCAAUAUCACCAUACAUCCUGUGCAAUCAAGAAAUUCACUCUAGGCAUAUGCCCAAUAAGUACUCCAGUGCCAGCACUAUCCACGCAAAAUAGUAAACAUAGUGUAAAGCAACGCAAGUAUGUAUGUGAAAUUUGGCUCCACACUAAAUCAGGUUUCAUGUUUAACUAUAUUUAAAAAAUAAUUUCCAAACUGCCAACAAUAUUUCUUAUUUUGCUUUAAUCAAAACUAAGAACUUUAUGAAAAUGUUAAUUAGCCAAAUGUCUCCAAUUCUCUAUCGGGUUUUAAAUAAUAUUUUAUUAUUUAAACUUUUUUUUUCACAUGUUUCUCCCCUCCUUACUGGUUCCUUACUACAUUGUUUCAUAAACAACCUUUGUAAAUUUGUAAUUUGAACUAACUUUUAGAUAACUUCUGAAUUAGACAAAAUUAUUCUUUUUUUUUCACAAAUAAAAGAAUGCUUUCUGGC